AUUGAACGCUGGCGGCAGGCCUAACACAUGCAAGUCGAACGAGUGGCGGACGGGUGAGUAAUGUCUGGGAAUCUGCCCGAUGGAGGGGGAUAACUACUGGAAACGGUAGCUAAUACCGCAUACUAUCGGAUGAACCCAGAUGGGAUUAGCUAGUAGGUGGGGUAACGGCUCACCUAGGCGACGAUCCCUAGCUGGUCUGAGAGGAUGACCAGCCACACUGGAACUGAGACACGGCCCAGACUCCUACGGGAGGCAGCAGUGGGGAAUAUUGCACAAUGGGAGCAAGCCUGAUGCAGCCAUGCCGCGUGUAUGAAGAAGGCCUUAGGGUUGUAAAGUACUUUCAGCGAGGAGGCGUUACUCGCAGAAGAAGCACCGGCUAACUCCGUGCCAGCAGCCGCGGUAAUAC
rnacentral:rRNA from 1 species